UUCGCCCUUAGAGUUUGAUCCUGGCUCAGGACGAACGCUGGCGGCGUGCCUAACACAUGCAAGUCGAGCGGGGACAUUGGAGAGCUUGCUCAAAGAUGUUCCAGCGGCGGACGGGUGAGUAACGCGUGAGCAAUCUGUCCCGAACAGGGGGAUAACAACUGGAAACAGCUGCUAAUACCGCAUGAGACCACAAUGUCGCAUGGCAAAGGGGUCAAAGGAGAAAUCCGGUUCGGGGUGAGCUCGCGUCUGAUUAGCUAGUUGGUGAGGUAACGGCCCACCAAGGCGACGAUCAGUAGCCGACCUGAGAGGGUGAUCGGCCACAUUGGAACUGAGACACGGUCCAAACUCCUACGGGAGGCAGCAGUGGGGAAUAUUGGGCAAUGGGCGAAAGCCUGACCCAGCAACGCCGCGUGAGGGAAGAAGGUUUUCGGAUUGUAAACCUCUGUCCUUGGUGACGAAGGAAGUGACGGUAGCCAAGGAGGAAGCCCCGGCUAACUACGUGCCAGCAGCCGCGGUAAUACGUAGGGGGCGAGCGUUGUCCGGAAUUACUGGGUGUAAAGGGCGCGUAGGCGGCCUGAUAAGUUAGAGGUGAAAGUCCAGCUUUCAAGGUUGGAAUUGCCUUUAAUACUGUUGGGCUUGAGUGCGGAAGAGGUAAGUGGAAUUCCCAGUGUAGCGGUGAAAUGCGUAGAGAUUGGGAGGAACACCAGUGGCGAAGGCGACUUACUGGGCCGUAACUGACGCUGAGGCGCGAAAGCGUGGGGAGCGAACAGGAUUAGAUACCCUGGUAGUCCACGCGGUAAACGAUGAAUGCUAGGUGUAGGGGGUAUCGACCCCUCCUGUGCCGGAGUAAACACAAUAAGCAUUCCGCCUGGGGAGUAACGGCCGCAAGGUUGAAACUCAAAGGAAUUGACGGGGGCCCGCACAAGCAGCGGAGCAUGUGGUUUAAUUCGACGCAACGCGAAGAACCUUACCAGGUCUUGACAUCGCGGUAAACUUGUAGAAAUACAAGGUGGCUUCGGCCGACCAAAGACAGGUGGUGCAUGGUUGUCGUCAGCUCGUGUCGUGAGAUGUUGGGUUAAGUCCCGCAACGAGCGCAACCCUUAUCCUUAGUAGCCAGCGGUUCGGCCGGGCACUCUAGGGAGACUGCCGGGGUUAACCCGGAGGAAGGUGGGGAUGACGUCAAAUCAUCAUGCCCCUUAUGAGCAGGGCUUCACACGUGCUACAAUGAUGACUACAAAGAGACGCGAUUCCGCGAGGUUGAGCAAAUCCCAAAAAAGUCAUCUCAGUUCGGAUUGUAGUCUGCAACUCGACUACAUGAAGCUGGAAUCGCUAGUAAUCGCGAAUCAGAAUGUCGCGGUGAAUACGUUCCCGGGUCUUGUACACACCGCCCGUCA
rnacentral:rRNA from 1 species